rnacentral:rRNA from 1 species
GACGGAGGGGGCAAGCGUUGUCCGGAGUUACUGGGCGUAAAGCGCACGUAGGCGGUCUGGUGCGUCGGUGCUGAAAGCGCCGGGCUUAACCCGGCGAGGCGUGCCGAUACGACCAGACUCGAGGCAGGCAGAGGGUGGCGGAAUUCCGGGUGUAGUGGUGAAAUGCGCAGAUAUCAGGAGGAACACCGGUGGCGAAGGCGGGUCUCUGGGCCGUAACUGACGCUGAGGAGCGAAAGCAUGGGGAGCGAACAGG